rnacentral:rRNA from 1 species
CGGAGGGUGCAAGCGUUAUCCGGAUUCGCUGGGUUUAAAGGGUGCGUAGGCGGGCAGGUAAGUCAGUGGUGAAAUCUUUGGGCUUAACCCGAAAACUGCCAUUGAUACUAUCUGUCUUGAAUAUUGUGGAGGUUAGCGGAAUAUGUCAUGUAGCGGUGAAAUGCUUAGAUGUGACAUAGAACACCUAUUGCGAAGGCAGCUAACUACGCAUAUAUUGACGCUGAGGCACGAAAGCGUGGGGAUCAAACAGGAUUAGAUACCCUGGUAGUCCACGCCCUAAACGAUGGAUACUCGACAUACGCGAUACACUGUGUGUGUCUGAGCGAAAGCAUUAAGUAUCCCACCUGGGAAGUACGACCGCAAGGUUG